AACUACAUAUCAAUAAGCUGAGGAAAAGAAACUAACAAGGAUUCCCCCUAGUAACUGCGAGUGAAGCGGGAAAAGCUCAAAUUUAAAAUCUGGCGGUCCCUGGCCGUCCGAGUUGUAAUCUAGAGAAGUGAUGCCCGCGCUGGACCGUGUACAAGUCUCCUGGAAUGGAGCGUCAUAGAGGGUGAGAAUCCCGUCUCUGACACGGACUACCAGGGCUUUGUGGUACGCUCUCAAAGAGUCGAGUUGUUUGGGAAUGCAGCUCUAAAUGGGUGGUAAAUUCCAUCUAAAGCUAAAUAUUGGCGAGAGACCGAUAGCGAACAAGUACCGUGAGGGAAAGAUGAAAAGAACUUUGGAAAGAGAGUUAAACAGUACGUGAAAUUGCUGAAAGGGAAACGCUUGAAGUCAGUCGCGUUGACCAGGACUCAGCCUCGCUCUUGCGUGGUGUACUUUCUGGUUGACGGGUCAGCAUCAAUUUUGACUGCUGGAAAAAGGCUUAGGGAAUGUGGCAGCUUCGGCUGUGUUAUAGCCCUUGGUCACAUACAGCGGUUGGGAUUGAGGAACUCAGCACGCCGCAAGGCCGGGUUUCGACCACGUUCGUGCUUAGGAUGCUGGCAUAAUGGCUUUAAGCGACCCGUCUUGAAACACGGACCAAGGAGUCUAACAUGCCUGCGAGUGUUUGGGUGGUAAACCCGAGCGCGUAAUGAAAGUGAAAGUUGAGAUCCCUGUCGUGGGGAGCAUCGACGCCCGGACCUGAACUUUUGUGACGGAUCCGCGGUAGAGCAUGUAUGUUGGGACCCGAAAGAUGGUGAACUAUGCCUGAAUAGGGUGAAGCCAGAGGAAACUCUGGUGGAGGCUCGUAGCGAUUCUGACGUGCAAAUCGAUCGUCAAAUUUGGGUAUAGGGGCGAAAGACUAAUCGAACCAUCUAGUAGCUGGUACUGGGAGUUUUUUUUUCGUUGUGAUAAGGAAAGGGAGGA
rnacentral:rRNA from 1 species